rnacentral:rRNA from 1 species
GACGAACGCUGGCGGCAGGCCUAACACAUGCAAGUCGAGCGGACCUUUCGGGGUCAGCGGCGGACGGGUGAGUAACGCGUGGGAAUAUGCCCUUCUCUACGGAAUAGUCCUGGGAAACUGGGGGUAAUACCGUAUACGCCCUUUGGGGGAAAGAUUUAUCGGGGAAGGAUUAGCCCGCGUUGGAUUAGGUAGUUGGUGGGGUAAUGGCCUACCAAGCCGACGAUCCAUAGCUGGUUUGAGAGGAUGAUCAGCCACACUGGGACUGAGACACGGCCCAGACUCCUACGGGAGGCAGCAGUGGGGAAUCUUAGACAAUGGGGGCAACACUGAUCUAGCCAUGCCGCGUGAGUGAUGAAGGCCUUAGGGUUGUAAAGCUCUUUCAGCUGGGAAGAUAAUGACGGUACCAGCAGAAGAAGCCCCGGCUAACUCCGUG